rnacentral:rRNA from 1 species
GACGGAGGGUGCAAGCGUUGCUCGGAAUCAUUGGGCGUAAAGCGCGUGUAGGCGGCCAACUAAGUCUGAUGUGAAAUCCCAGGGCUCAACCCUGGAACUGCAUCGGAUACUGGAUGGCUAGAGGAUGAGAGAGGAUGGUGGAAUUCCUGGUGUAGGGGUGAAAUCCGUAGAUAUCAGGAGGAACAUCGGUGGCGAAGGCGGCCAUCUGGCUCAUUUCUGACGCUGAGGCGCAAAAGCGUGGGGAGCAAACAGG